CAGUCCUAGGCUGGUCAGCGCCAGGCCGUAUUCCCUAAUUAAAUGCAGACUCCUCCUAGGAAAAACAGCAUAUUGAUGAUAGUACUUGUGAUCUUCCUGCACUGCUAGGCAGUCGCUGUGGAUUAAUAAAAUGGUUAAUGACAGUCUUUCUUUUCUUCCCUGGAUUAUAUUGCAAGGGAUUAUGCUAUUUGUGGCCCAAUAGCCCCCUCACUUCCACCUGACCAGAUCUCCAAGAGCACAGAAAGAAAAUAUAGACCCUUUCGGAGCUCGAUGUGGAGCCUGCCGAGGCCGUAGAAUUGCCCAGUGAUGUUGAACAUUCUAUACCUCAGCCACCCCCCAAGACCAAGAGGAGGUUGGGGAACACUACUUCUACGGCACAGAAGUCCAGCGCUGCUGUGGCGGCUUCACGGUGCUGCAAAUGCGGACAUACAUCCAGGAAGAAAAUAGGGAUAUCUCAGUCAUAAAUGGAUGGCAUCCAUUGUGAGAUUUGUGGCAUUAUAGGGAGUUUGUGGAACAUUU